rnacentral:rRNA from 1 species
ACCAAGGCGACGACGGGUAGGGGACCUGAGAGGGUGAUCCCCCACAAUGGAACUGAAACACGGUCCAUACAUCUACGGAUGGCAGCAGUAGGGAAUUGCACAAUGGGCGAAAGCCUGAUGCAGCAACGCCGCGUGUGCGAUGAAGGCCUUCGGGUCGUAAAGCACUUUUCUGAGGGAAGAGGAAGGACGGUACCUCAGGAAUAAGUCUCGGCUAACUACGUGCCAGCAGCCGCGGUAACACAUAGGAGGCAAGCGUUAUCCGGAUUUACUGGGCGUAAAGCGCGUGCAGGCGGUUUGGUAAGUUGGAUGUGAAAGCUCCUGGCUUAACUGGGAGAGGUCGUUCAAUACUGCCAAACUAGAGGACGGUAGAGGAAGGUAGAAUUCCUGGUGUAGUGGUGAAAUGCGUAGAUAUCAGGAGGAAUACCAGUGGCGAAGGCGGCCUUCUGGGCCGUUCCUGACGCUAAGACGCGAAAGCAUGGGUAGCGAACGGGAUUAGAAACCCCGGUAGUCCAUGCCGUAAACGAUGCAAACUAGGUGUUGGUGGUGUAAAAGCCAUCAGUGCCGCAGCUAACGCGAUAAGUUUGCCGCCUGGGGACUACGGCCGCAAGGUUAAAACUCAAAGGAAUUGACGGGUUCCCGCACAAGCAGCGGAGCGUGUGGUUUAAUUCGAUACUACGCGAAGAACCUUACCUGGGCUUGACAUAUGGGUGGUAGGGAGCCGAAAGGUGACCGACCCUUCGGGGAGCCUAUACAGGUGCUGCAUGGCUGUCGUCAGCUCGUGUCGUGAGAUGUCCGGUUAAGUCCGGUAACGAGCGCAACCCUUGCCGUAUGUUAUAUAUGUCAUACGGGACUGCCGAUAUAAAAUCGGGGGAAGGAGGGGAUGACGUCAAGUCAGCAUGGCCUUUAUGUCCAGGGCUACACACACGCUACAAUGGCCAGUACAAUGGGUCGCAAAGCCGCGAGGCGGAGCCAAUCCUCAAAGCUGGUCUCAGUUCGGAUUGCAGGCUGCAACUCGCCUGCAUGAAGCCGGAGUUGCUAGUAAACGCGCGUCAGCAACAGUGCGUUGAAUACGUUCCCGGGAAUUGUACACACCGCCCGUCACGUCAUGGAAGCUGGAAAUACUUAAAGUCAGUAUCCCAACCCUAACGGGAGGGAGCUGCCAAAGGUAGGGCUGGUAACUGGGACGAAGUCGUAACGAGGUAGGUGUAGCGAGCUGCGCCUGG